CGCCAAUAGGCUUUCAAAAUCUCCCCAAAAGAUCCCUUUCCGAUAAUUGCUGAGUUUGAAAAAUCGAGCUCUGAUGGGUCUAAUUCCCAGUCACACUUGUUUGGCAGGGGUGGUGGAACAGGCUUUGGCUCAAAAUGGCUUCCACUUUGGCCAUAGGACAAACCACCAUGUGAUUUUAAGAGCUCAAUCAUGCCAUACUUUUUAGCUCCUUCUGCAUCAGCUAAAGGCGUAUUCUUCCAUCUAUCCUGGGCGUUGACAUCAGCGCCAAACU
rnacentral:misc_RNA from 1 species